rnacentral:rRNA from 1 species
AUUGAACGCUGGCGGCAGGCUUAACACAUGCAAGUCGAGCGGAGCGAGGGUGCUUGCACCUUAGCUUAGCGGCGGACGGGUGAGUAAUGCUUAGGAAUCUGCCUAUUAGGGGGGGACAACAUUCCGAAAGGAAUGCUAAUACCGCAUACGCCCUACGGGGGAAAGCAGGGGAUCUUCGGACCUUGCGCUAAUAGAUGAGCCGAAGUCGGAUUAGCUAGUUGGUGGGGGAAAGGCCUACCAAGGCGACGAUCCGUAGCGGGUCUGAGAGGAUGAUCCGCCACACUGGGACUGAGACACGGCCCAGACUCCUACGGGAGGCAGCAGUGGGGAAUAUUGGACAAUGGGCGGAAGCCUGAUCCAGCCAUGCCGCGUGUGUGAAGAAGGCCUUUUGGUUGUAAAGCACUUUAAGCGAGGAGGAGGCCACUUAGAUUAAUACUCUGGGAUAGUGGACGUUACCCGCAGAAUAAGCACCGGCUAACUCUGUGCCAGCAGCCGCCGUAAUAC